CGUGAAAUUGUUGAAAGGGAAGCGUUCAUGACCAGACUUGGGCAGGUUGAUCAUCCGUGGUUCUCCGCGGUGCACGCGGCCUGCCCAGGCCAGCAGAAGAGCGACCCGGGGGAUCAAGGGGGCGGGAAUGUGACUCCUCCGGGAGUGUUAGAGCAAAUUGCGUAAUACCCUAGGACGGACUGAGGUUCGCGCUCUGCAAGGAUGCUGGCGUAAGGGGAAGCAACGACCCGUCUUGAAACACGG
rnacentral:rRNA from 1 species